rnacentral:ncRNA from 2 species
GGUAGAUUACUAGAACUUGGUGUUGGGAAACUCCGGUGCGAUUCCGGGGCUGUGCCGCAGCUGUGAUGAAAAGUCCCAAGAAUUUCUCUUGUAACUUUCCGAGUCAGAAUGCCAAUUCCAAGAGUUAGCU